GUUUACGGCCCUACUACCGUGAAUACGCUUAAUCUCAUCUGAUCUCGGAAGCUAAGCAGGGUUAGGCCUGGUUAGUAUUUGGAUGGGAGACCGCCUGGGAAUACCAAGUGCUUUUUAAU
rnacentral:rRNA from 1 species